CGGAGGAUCCAAGCGUUAUCCGGAAUCAUUGGGUUUAAAGGGUCCGUAGGCGGGUUUAUAAGUCAGUGGUGAAAGCCCAUCGCUCAACGAUGGAACGGCCAUUGAUACUGUAGAUCUUGAAUUAUUAGGAAGUAACUAGAAUAUGUAGUGUCGCGGUGAAAUGCUUAGAGAUUACAUGGAAUACCAAUUGCGAAGGCAGGUUACUACUAAUGGAUUGACGCUGAUGGACGAAAGCGUGGGUAGCGAACAGGAUUAGAUACCCUGGUAGUCCACGCCGUAAACGAUGGAUACUAGCUGUUCGGAGCAAUCUGAGUGGCUAAGCGAAAGUGAUAAGUAUCCCACCUGGGGAGUACGUUCGCAAGAAUG
rnacentral:rRNA from 1 species